GUCCACGCCGUAAAACGAUGGAUACUAGCUGUUGGGCGCAAGUUCAGUGGCUAAGCGAAAGUGAUAAGUAUCCCACCUGGGGAGUACGUUCGCAAGAAUGAAACUCAAAGGAAUUGACGGGGGCCCGCACAAGCGGUGGAGCAUGUGGUUUAAUUCGAUGAUACGCGAGGAACCUUACCAAGGCUUAAAUGUAGAUUGACCGGUUUUGGAAACAGAUACUUUCGCAAGACAAUUUACAAGGUGCUGCAUGGUUGUCGU
rnacentral:rRNA from 1 species